rnacentral:rRNA from 1 species
GACGAACGCUGGCGGCGUGCUUAACACAUGCAAGUCGAACGGAAAGGCCCUGCUUUUGUGGGGUGCUCGAGUGGCGAACGGGUGAGUAACACGUGAGUAACCUGCCCUUGCCUUUGGGAUAACUUCAGGAAACUGGGGCUAAUACCGGCUAGGAGCUCCUGCUGCAUGGUGGGGGUUGGAAAGUUUCGGCGGUUGGGGAUGGACUCGCGGCUUAUCAGCUUGUUGGUGGGGUAGUGGCUUACCAAGGCUUUGACGGGUAGCCGGCCUGAGAGGGUGACCGGCCACAUUGGGACUGAGAUACGGCCCAGACUCCUACGGGAGGCAGCAGAGGGGAAUAUUACACAAUGGGCGGAAGCCUGAUGCAGCAACGCCGCGUGCGGGAUGACGGCCUGCGGGUUGUAAACCGCUUUCGCCUGUGACGAAGCGUGAGUGACGGUAAUGGGUAAAGAAGCACCGGCUAACUACGUG